GCCAGGCGCGGUGGCGCACGCCUGUAACCCCAGCUCCUCGAGAGGCAGAGGCAGGAGGAUCCCGAGUUCAAGGUCAACCUGGGCAACUUAGCAAGACCCUGUCUCAA
rnacentral:sRNA from 1 species